ACGCUCGACACCUACGGAGCAGCAGUCGGGAAUAUUGCGCAAUGGAGGAAACUCUGACGCAGUGACGCCGCGUAUAGGAAGAAGGUUUUCGGAUUGUAAACUAUUGUCGUUAGGGAAGAAAAAGGACAGUACCUAAGGAGGAAGCUCCGGCUAACUACGUGCUAGCAGCCGCGGUAAUCUGAGCGGGCUGGCAAGGC
rnacentral:rRNA from 1 species